rnacentral:rRNA from 1 species
GACCUUCGGGUCUAGUGGCGCACGGGUGCGUAACGCGUGGGAAUCUGCCCUCAGGUACGGAAUAACUCAGGGAAACUUGAGCUAAUACCGUAUAAUGACUUCGGUCCAAAGAUUUAUCGCCUGAGGAUGAGCCCGCGUCGGAUUAGCUAGUUGGUGAGGUAAAAGCUCACCAAGGCGACGAUCCGUAGCUGGUCUGAGAGGAUGAUCAGCCACACUGGGACUGAGACACGGCCCAGACUCCUACGGGAGGCAGCAGUGGGGAAUAUUGGACAAUGGGCGAAAGCCUGAUCCAGCAAUGCCGCGUGAGUGAUGAAGGCCUUAGGG